AUGAUAUGCUAUCACAAAUAUAAUAGUGGUUCUACCAUGCCCACUUUCCAGUUACUAGUACUUAUCCAACUAAAGUGGCUAGAUAAGAAGAUGGACAAACUGAGAAGAGGUUUUGUGUGGACCGGUUGCACUGGGCGGCAAAUGCCUCGUCAACUGGACUCAGGCCUGUCGGCCUCUUGGGUACGGCGGCCUGGGAAUCCUGAACCUGGCCUUGCAUGCUGCUGCAAUGCUGCUCUCCGCAUCAGAUGGCUUUGGCAACAACACAAGUACCCGGACAAGCCUUGGGCUGAUCUGUCAUUCCACAGUGACGAUCUUGUUCUUGGUAUCUUCAUCGACAGCACUGCUGUUUUGAUCGGCUCCGGCGAGGCCACCUCCUUCUAG
rnacentral:rRNA from 1 species